rnacentral:rRNA from 1 species
CCUGCACCUGCCGGCGACCGGCGCACGGGUGAGUAACACGUAUGGAACCUGCCCGCCACAGGGGGAUAACCCGGGGAAACCCGGCCUAAUACCCCAUGCCGCCCGGACCGGGCAUCCGGUCCGGGCGAAAGGAGGAAUCCGGUGGCGGCUGGGCAUGCGGCGCAUUAGCUUGACGGCGGGGUAACGGCCCACCGUGGCGACGAUGCGUAGGGGUUCUGAGAGGAAGGCCCCCCACACUGGACUGAGACACGGCCAGACUCCUACGGGAGGCAGCAG